AACAAAACAGGCAAGGCAAAUAGGUUUCUUUCCUGGAGCUUGGAUACACUCUUAUCCUGCCCUUGGUCAGCAGAACUCCAGGCUCGCUGGCCUUUGGACUCUAGGACUUACACCAGCAACCCCCACUCCUACCCCAGGUUUUCAGGCCCUGGAACUUGGCCUGAACAACACUACUGGCAUUCCAGGAUCCCCAGCAUGUAGAUGGCUGUCACAGGACUUCUCAGCCUCAGUAAUCAGACACAGAUUGCUGCAGACAUCAUGGGUGAUCAUGGAAGACAAGUUCGCCUCCCUGUUUGGCUUUUGAUCACGAAAUUUGGAAAUGAGACAGAGAAAUACUGGACAAUCUGUGGAGACUCGCUUGAACGAGAACUAUGAAGCCAAAAGAGGUCGGAUGGGCACCUUCCACCCUGUGCAAACAGAGAAAGCCACAGGAGCAAAAGCAGCACGUGUGCGGGAAGACGGAGCACCGAGACCAGGAGACCCCGAGGAAAGAGGAGGGCGGCAGAGUGGCUGCCUCUGUUCUGAGAAGGGUCUGACUCCUGCUUCCCUUCCUUUCAGAAGCCAAAAUUCUUCACUCUCCUGCAUUCCAUGGUCCUUAUAACACAGCCUACCUCUUUAUUUAAACAGCUUGAGUGGAGUUUUUGGUACAUUUUAACAAAAAGAGUAAAGCAAAAAAUUGUUGUACUCACAACUUGAGAUACAGAGGUGAACUAAAUAUUUUCCCUCCCAGGAACGAAGUCCUGUGAAGGGAAGACACAGCGGGAGAGGCUGCACACAGUGGCUCACGUCUGUAAUCCCAGCACUUCGGGAGGCUGAGGUGGAAGGAUCUCUUGAGCUCAGUUUGAGACCAGUCUAGCAACGCAGGGAGACCACAUCUCUACACGUUUUUGUUUUUUGUUUUUUUUUAAAUUAGCCAGGUGUGGUGGUGCAUGCCAGCUCCUCCAAAGGCUGAGGUGGGAGGGUCGCUUGAGCCUGGGAAGUCAAGGCUGUAUUGGGCCACGAUUGCACCACUGCACUCCAGCCUGGGUGACAGAGUGAGACUCCGUCUCAGAAAAAAAUAAAUAAAUAAAUAAUAAUAAUAAUAAUAAUAUGGCCGGAUAACCUGCAAGAUUAUGUUACAGUUAACAGUAUAUACAUUCCGGGGGUAUGAGAAGAGAACUAGUUCAUUCCCCCUGCAUGCUCUGGUAAACAGAAAACACUAAAAAGGUCAGACACAUUUUUUUCCAAAAAAUAGUGCACCAAACUAGUUUUCCUUGUAUGAGAACCAGACUCAUGGAUUUGUACCUAAGCAUUCCUGAUUCUGUAUAUCUGAGACUGGGUACGGGAAUCUGUAUUCUAAAAAAUCUUCCUGGAUUACUAUGACGCCCAGCCGGGCUUGGAAGGCCUAUAAACCAUUGAGACAAAGGUGACAGGAAAAUCAGAAAAUAUUAACAAAUUGGAAGUAGCAUUUGAGAGAGAUCUGAAAGAUGAGUAAGACCUGUCAUAUAUAGAAAGAGGUUGGGAAAUAACUUUUCAGGAAGAAAGAGCAAAUUGCAAAUUACCACACAAAUAAAAGUUGCUUAUGUUCACUAUUAUUUCCAUUUUUGUUAUGGUCACAAAUAUAUACAUGUCUGAUUGCACCUACUUACACAGCUGGGAAGAAGAUAGGGCUAACAAUAGAUUCAAUCUACCUGCCUCUGUCAAACAGACAUUAUUAACAUGCCCUGCGAAGUAUCACAGAAGUUACUUGAAUUUUUUUUUUUUUUUUUUUUUUUUUGAGACAGAGUCUCACUCUUGUUGCCCAGGCUGGAGUGCAAUGGAGCAAUAUCGGCUCACCGCAACCCCCGCCUCCCAGGUUCAAGCAAUUCUCCUUCCUCAGCCUCCCGACUAGCUAGGAGUACAGGCUUGUGUCACUACGCCCAGCUAAUUUUGUAUCUUUAGGAG
rnacentral:lncRNA from 1 species